rnacentral:RNase_MRP_RNA from 10 species
GGAGAGUGCCAGCAGGAGGCUGCAAGAUUUUGGCUUUGACAUCUGCAACGAUGCUGCCGGCAGAGCUGCGGUGCAGAGCUGGAGUUUUUUGCAUCAUCACAGCCACGUCGUGAGUGCUCGCUUGAGGGCGCGAACCGAACGGGGCUCAUUCUC